GGUGAGGGUUUUAUGGGCUCUCUUAUGCAGUCCUUAGGAAGCAUUUAAUCAGAGAACAAACUGAGAAAAGGCGAGCCUGCUUUCGCAGGAGAGGACCUGCAGGUCUCCCUUCCACGGCUCCUUCCAGAGAGGCUGGGAGAACCCAUCUGCAGUGACUGCUGGCUGGCAGCCUGCGGUGAGGUGGAGCUGAUGAGGUGACUUGUUUUGCUAACUUCUGCUUUCCCUUUCCAGUCUGAUCUGUUUCUGGGUCACUAAUUGGAUGGGUCACAAGUUAUGGGAGAAAAUACACCAUCCAGCUGUUCAAGGCUGGCAGUUGGACAAUCUAUUGAUCAGCCCGGCCUGGCAGCAGAUCCAGUCCCUGUAAGGUUCAGGAGGUGGAGGGCAUGUUUCAGUUUCCAGUCUGGUCCUGACGUAUCCCGUGCUGAAGAAUGAACCGUGGGUUUCUUGUCUUCAUCAGAGUGCCUCGGGUUCUGCUUUUAACACUGGAUUUGUCUCCUAAUCUUGCUGUACAAAUUACAUGAAAUUUGAUGGCUUGA